rnacentral:lncRNA from 1 species
CUGAUUAUUUCUGGCUGGGUACUCUGCUGACAUAAUCUAAUGUUUUGCUUUCGUUGUAAAGCCUUUUUUAAAUCGGACAGUGUGGUUAGAUUAACGAGAGUCUUGUCUUUAAAAUGGUGUAAAAUAGUCAUAUGUUUGAAAAAUUGAAGUUUUUGCAUUUGAGGAAUUUGAAUAACGCGCCACGGGAUUACACUGGCUGUUGAGUAGCCCAUAGAGGUUAACAAGAAAUUUGUGGUUGAAAAACGAGUGGUUGAAAAACGAGUUUUAAUGACUCCUACCUAAGUCUCCUACCUAUGUAAACUUCCGACUUCAACUGUAUAUGGUUUCCAGUUUGCGUAAAAUCCAGUAAAGUUCCUUGAUGGCUGUCUUGGUAGCCACUUGAAGGGGGGAUAUACACGGCUGUGACGAUAACCGAGGAGAGUUCACUUGGGAGAUAAUACGGUCGGCAUUUGAUUGUGAGGAAGGUGAACAAAAGGACUUGACUUCCUGUAUGUUGUUACAAUUACACCAUGAGUCGUUAAUCAUGAAACAUCCACCCCCGCCCUUCUUCUUACCAGAGAGAUGUUUAUUCCUGUUAGCGCAAUGCACUGAAAAUCCCGUUGGUUGUAUGGACUCCGACAGCAUGUUCCCACCUAGCCAUGUUUCCUUGAGACAGAGUAUGUUACAAUCCCGGAUAUCUCUUUGGAAAGCAACUCUUGCCCUGAUUUUGUUACCUAGGGACUAGAUAAUAGCGAGUAAUAUAGUCAGAAGUGGUGGGUGGUGUGCGCGCAUCCGAAGCCUCACUAGAUGACCGCAACGGCACCCUCUCCUCCGACGGCAUUGUUUUGGGUCGGCCUCUGGAAUCAGUUCAAAUGCUGUGGGAGGUGCAGACAAAGGAUCUGCUUUGGGAAAGUCGUAUUCCUGGUCGUAGUGCUGGUUGUGCUGGUAAGUUGACGUCUCUCUGAUAGCCAAUAGUUCUUCCUGGUUGUAUGUAAUAACACAUACAUAAAAAAACGAAAUACUGCAGUUUCCUAAGGACUAGAAUCGAAGCUGCCAGCUCCAUCAGCACCAUAUUGCCAUC